UGCAGACAGGUUUGAGGCCUUCCGUUGUGAGAGAGUCAGAGAAAGCAGGCCUCUGGAGGGGGAUGUCGGAUUCAAGGAGGGUUUGGUUUUUAAGGUGAUAGUGUAGCCUGUUUGUAUGCUAAUGGAAGAGCUUAGGCAGAGAGGGAGACAUUGAUGAGGCAGGAGAGAGAGAGGAUAAUUAUGGGAGCAAAGUCCUUGAGAGGAGCUGGUAUCCAGGGCCCCAGUGGAGGGGCUGGGCCCCAUAGAUGGGACCAGGAACAGUUCGUCUGAAUCAGGACAUAGUCUGUGAGGCCGAGGCGGGCAGCAGGGCUGGGAGCAGCACAGGCAAGACGGGAGCUCUGACACACAGCACUCCCACCAGGAGGCCUGGCUUCUAGUUCUGACUCAGGCUUCCCUGUGUGACGUUGGGCAAGUUGCUGGGUCUUUCUGGGCUGUACUUUCCUGGGGAGCAAAAUGGGAAUCAUGGUCCCUGUCUGUCCUUCCUCCUGCGGUUAGCACACUUGACCCAACCUGUCUGAAAACCCAUCUGAUGGGUCCCCAGCACAGAGAUGUCACCGGCUUUGGCCCGAGAUGAGAGUUGUCUCAAGGGUCAGCCAGGCCUUAUCACUUACCAAGUGUCCUGGGCCCACUCCUGGGCCCCUACAUCCCCAGUCCUUCACCCCUUUGGGAUACCAUGAACAAAAAGCCUGCCUUGAUUUCCCUAUCCGUAACAAAAGAAAAGAGCUCAAUGGGCCGUGCUGGGAUUGUGGGGUGGGGCCAGAGGCUGGAUUCUGUCUGAGCCUUUUGGGAAGCAGCAGGGUGGAGAGAAGUUAGCUAGACCACACCCCCCAGCUCUGCCACUUUCUAACUCUGUGACCUGCUAUGAAGCUUGAGCUUCAAGGCCCUCCUGAACUGACCCUUCCCAAAGCCCCAUUAUUUCAGAUUUAUAAUUGUAUGUACCUUUCCUUACAAGGCGGCCCUCAAAGUGUAUAAUCUCCAAGCUCCAUGAAACCAGGAUCUGCCUUGGGAUGCAGGUAUCAAGGAAACUGCCAGUCCUGACUCUUGUUUGCUGUGUGACGCUGCUUCACUGACUUAACCUCUCUGAACAACCACUUCCUUGUUCUGCUGUCAUAUCUUCCUAUUGUGAGGUUCAUCUUAGACAAUCUGUGAGCCAGCCAGAAUUCUAACACGCUUUCUGAGUGCCCUGUGGGGAAGUCCAACCCCAGUGGCACCAGGUGACAGGAGAGAAUGAGGAGCUUGGGACAAGGGCUGCUGGAGAAAGUGAC